rnacentral:rRNA from 1 species
UACAGAGGUCUCAAGCGUUGUUCGGAUUCAUUGGGCGUAAAGGGUGUGUAGGUGGCGCCGUAAGUCGGGUGUGAAAUUUCGGAGCUUAACUCCGAAACUGCAUUCGAUACUGCGGUGCUUGAGGACUGGAGAGGAGACUGGAAUUCAUGGUGUAGCAGUGAAAUGCGUAGAGAUCAUGAGGAAGACCAGUGGCGAAGGCGACUUCCUGGCCUGUUCUUGACGCUGAGGCGCGAAAGCUGGGGGAGCAAACGGG